UCUUAAGAGAGUUUGAUCCUGGCUCAGGAUGAACGCUGGCGGCGUGGAUAAGGCAUGCAAGUCGAACGUGUCAGUGCGGGGCACUGACCGCGGAACUAUGUGGACUUGACGCAGAAUUACGCGGAUAAAGCUAAGGCUUUCGCAGACACUCGCUGACUUUACGCAGAUGGUCGCAGAAAUUUUUUCUGCGUGAUUCUGUGUGUGGUCUGCGUGGUUCUGCGCCAGCACACACAAUAGGUGCUGGAUUCUGCGACUUUCUGCGUUUGUUCUGCGGCCAAUGCUCUGCAUUGGCAAGUGGCGAACGAGUUAGUAACACCUUAGUAUCUACCCCAAUCACAGGCAUAACUAGCCGAAAGGUUAGCUAAUUCCUGAUGGCAUGAUAGCUGAAUAAUGGAAGUCAAAAGAUUGGGGAAUAUCUAAUUCACCUAAUUAUCUAAUUCACCUAAUAAAAUGUCCAAUAACUAAAUUACAAAAAACUAAAAGAUUUUGUAAUUAAAAAUUUUAUUAGAAAUUAGAAAUUAGAAAUUAGAAAUUCCUCCCAAUCCGGUUUUUAUUAUUCAGUUAUCAUUAAAGGUGCAAACCGGAUUGGGAGGAGCUUAGGUCCUAUCAGCUUGUUGGCGGGGUAACGGCCCACCAAGGCGACGACGGGUAGGGGGUGUGAGAGCACGACCCCCAACGACGGUACUUAGAACGGACCGUACACCUACGGGUGGCAGCAGUCAAGAACAUUCGACAAUGGGCGAAAGCCUGAUCGAGCGACGCCGCGUGCAGGAAGAAGGGCUUCGGCCUGUAAACUGCUUUUGCCGCCGAAAAAUUUUGAUGGUAGGCGGAGAAUAAGGGGUUGCUAACCUCGUGAUCCCAUUUAGGGAUGGCGCGAGGCUCCUCCAGUAAUGGAGGAUAGGAAAACUCAACUUAUAUGCGGGAACAUUUUUCAUCGUCCGCUGAAUAAGUCCCAGCUUAGCUGGGCGCGGUGGAAAACAAUCCGCAGGGAAGCUGACAGAAAAUAAAAAAUUAAAAUUCAAAAAUCAAAAUGACAAUUUAAAAUUUAAAAAUUUUGAUCUGUUAUUUUACAUUUUUAUAUUUACAUUUUGAACUUCUGUUUAGCCCCUCAGAGACUUGAUUCUUCGGGAUCAGAUAGCGAGUUUUUACUUGCUAUAACACGUUGAGCUCCUGCCUAUGUGCAGGAUGAUGAUAUAGUCCAACAACGAUAGUUUAGAAGCGUGUCAGCCCGGUAGUGAAAGUUCGACUAUAAAGUAUAUAAAUUUAUAUUUUAUACCUCGAUAUUCAACUACUUGGGAUGAUCAUAAUAAUUCGACGUAAUUUUUUUGCGCCAAAAGGCGCAGGUCGAAUUUCUACUACCGGGCCAGCAGCAGCGGUAAUACGAGGACCCCGAGCGUUAUCCGGAAUUACUGGGCGUAAAGCGCGAGCAGCCGGUUGU
rnacentral:ncRNA from 1 species